CAUACCGGCCGACAAUUCCUUCGAGUCAUACCCUUACUAGCCUUGGAGCUGCAUACUCGUAUUGAAUGCCAUAUAAUUAGGGGUGAUUUUCCUCCCAGUAUCAACUAUUCACUGCCUGAUCUAAAGGAAUUAAACCCUUUAAAAACUCUUAACAAUGAGUUUUAGCCACUUGAAUAAUUGUCCCUCCGUGAUCCAAGAACGCUUCUAAAAAUGCUAGAGCUUGCCGUUUCCAACCUUAGACGAGUGAGUGUGGACAGUGAAGCAAAAUCAUAACUAUACGUCUCCUUUACAUGCUAUGAAGAAUGGCUGAGAUAUCCCCGAACAUCUAUCUUAACUUCUGAUCCAUUUCAGUAUGGAUGGUGAGAAGGUUCAAGAGGUGUGGGUGGGAGACAUUCCUUUUUGACCAAGACAAAUACAUGUUUUUCUAUCAUUCUUUUAUUUGAUGCUGUCUUUAUUUUCCAGUUCCAGAAAGCCUUGAAUUGAAUGGCAAGCAUUCUCUCUUUGUCUAUGAUUAUCUCUAAGUAAAGGUCUGUUGGUGAGAUCAACAUAACUAUCGUUUGGCUGCCUUGAGAUGCUAUGUUGCGGCAUUAUAUCUUCACCUUUGAAUUGGCAUCUAAACGCAUGAAAACGGUCAGGUUUAACUGCUAUCCAAGAACAAGCAACGAACCUAAGUUCAGGAAGCGAGAGAGCGGUGUCGGAAGAAAAACAUACUCGGAUAAAAUAUAAAAGCCUUUACUAAAAUCCUUCCUCUCCUCCAAGUUCUCAUCGAGAUUGUCCCCAAAUUUCUAUUUAUAAUUUUCCUUCAAUUUCGCUUUCCCUCUACUUUCCAGAGGACUUGUUCGUGCUCCGGC
rnacentral:sRNA from 1 species